AAGAUGUUGGCGGGAUGAAAAAAAGCCUUUCAAUGUGGUUGAAAGAUAGUAGCUGUGAUGGUGGAGAGAAAGAAGAGAAGAUGAUGAAAGAGGAAGAAUCAGGACAGACAGGGGAAGGCAACAGUGGAGAACACCACAGACAAGGGAUGAAGGAGACAGACAUGAGGUCAGUGAUAGAGGAGACAAGUGAUGAGAUCAGGUAGGCAUUAGGAAAGCAACAAAAACCUAUAUACCAUGAUGGUUUGAGUUUCUGAUGACCAUCUUUGAUUGUGUUCUUUUUUGGGGGAAAUUAGUGCAGGCAGUCAUGGUGAGUCAACCACGAGAAAGGAGAAUGAGAAACAGAAAGGUGCAGAUGAGGGAGAGGAAGAGCAGAGAGGACUAGAUGAUGAAGAGAGAGAGAAGCACAGAGCUGCGGAGGAGAGAGCCGAGACAAGGCUUUAUUCAGAAGAACCAUCUGAAUGGCCUUUACCACACAAAAUGGGGGACACA